rnacentral:tRNA from 1 species
GGCACUAUGGCCGAGUGGUUAAGGCGAGAGACUCGAAUUAAUAGUUCUCAAAGAAUUUGUUCGGCUAUCUCUUGGGCUCUGCCCGCGCUGGUUCAAAUCCUGCUGGUGUCG